GUCUGGGCCUCGGCGGCGGGGAGCCGCGGGCCUGGCGGCGUCGCUUCCCCGGCCACUGGGGGCGGGAACCCCGCGUCCACCCCGGGGAACCGGACCGGGAACGGGAGGGGGGCUCGUGGGGACCGCGCGCCUCGUCCCGACCGAGUCUCGGGAACCUGUGGCCCGCGCCGCGCCGGCUCAACCCGAGGGAACGCCUGUUCAGGGCUGACUUCUCUGGCAGCAGGCCCAGGAUCACAGCUGCAGUCUGGAUACUUACUCUGUGUCAUGAUAUCCGAACAUUAUUAUGCAUUCUUUUCAAGCUUUGCUAAAGUGAUUUAAACUUUUAAGAUGCUUCCAUUAAUUGGAAAAACAAUCAUCUUUGAUAACUUUCCCGAUCCUUCUGAUACAUGGGAAAUCACUGAAACAAUCGGCAAAGGAACUUACGGAAAGGUUUUUAAAGUGUUGAAUAAGAAAAAUGGCCAAAAAGCAGCAGUCAAAAUUCUGGAUCCGAUUCACGAUAUUGAUGAAGAGAUUGAAGCAGAGUACAACAUCCUAAAAGCACUUUCUGACCACCCUAAUGUGGUCAGAUUCUAUGGCAUGUACUUUAAGAAGGAUAAAAUAAAUGGAGAUAAGCUGUGGCUGGUUCUUGAGCUGUGCAACGGAGGAUCAGUGACAGAUCUUGUGAAAGGAUUUCUGAAGAAGGGCAAAAGAAUGAGUGAGCCCAUAAUUGCCUACAUUUUACGUGAAGCGCUGUUGGGACUUCAGCAUUUGCAUAACAACAAAACUAUCCACCGUGAUAUAAAAGGAAACAACAUCCUAUUAACCAUCGAAGGCGGAGUUAAACUCGUAGAUUUUGGCGUGUCUGCACAGCUCACCAGCACCUGGCACCGUCGGAAUACAUCCGUAGGAACGCCCUUUUGGAUGGCUCCUGAGGUGAUUGCAUGUGAACAGCAGUUGGAUACAACUUACGAUGCCAGAUGUGACACGUGGUCCCUGGGGAUCACGGCCAUCGAGCUUGGGGAUGGAGAUCCUCCACUGGCAGACCUCCAUCCCAUGAGAGCGCUCUUCAAAAUACCAAGGAACCCACCCCCAAAACUGAGGCAGCCUGAGAUAUGGUCAGCAGAAUUCAAUGACUUCAUCAGCAAGUGCUUGACUAAAGAUUAUGAAAAGCGGCCAACAGUGUCAGAUCUUUUACAGCAUAAAUUCAUUACUCAAGUUGAAGGCAAAGAUGCGAUGUUGCAAAAACAACUCAUGGAAUUCAUUGGUAUUUACCAGUGCACGGGAGGCUCAGAAAAGGCCAGGCAUGAACGUCUUUACACCAAGAAAAGUAACUUCAGCAGAUCUUUAAUUUCCAACCUCAAGGAUGUAGAUGAUUUAGCAACCCUAGAAGUUUUGGAUGAGAAUACAGUCUCAGAGCAACUUGAGAAGUGUUACUCCAGAGAUCAGAUUUACUUCUAUGUGGGAGACAUACUCAUUGCUCUUAACCCUUUUCAGAGUCUGGGUCUUUAUUCCACAGAGCAUUCCAAACUGUACAUUGGAGCAAAGAGAACUGCCAAUCCUCCUCACAUUUUUGCCAUGGCUGACUUAGGAUACCAGUCUAUGGUGACAUAUAAUUCAGAUCAGUGCAUUGUUAUUUCCGGGGAAAGUGGUGCUGGAAAGACGGAAAGUGCUCAUCUCCUAGUUCAGCAGCUGACAGUACUUGGAAAGGCUAAUAACAAAACCCUGCAAGAGAAGAUUUUACAAGUGAAUAAUUUGGUGGAAGCCUUUGGCAAUGCCUGCACUAUUAUAAAUGACAAUUCCAGCCGAUUUGGAAAAUACUUAGAAAUGAAAUUUACCCCUUCUGGGACUGUCGUGGGAGCACAGAUUUCUGAAUACCUUCUGGAGAAAUCCCGAGUUAUCCACCAAGCCAUUGGAGAAAAAAAUUUUCAUAUUUUUUACUACAUCUAUGCUGGUUUAGCUGAAAAGAAGAAACUAGCCCAUUACAAAUUGCCGGAAAAUAAGCCUCCCAGAUACCUGCAAAAUGACCACAUCAGAACAGUACAGGACGUGUUGAAUAAUAGUUUCUAUAAAUCCCAAUAUGAAUUAAUUGAGCAGUGUUUCAAAGUCAUCGGUUUUACAAUGGAGCAACUUGGAAGUGUAUACAGUAUACUGGCUGCAAUCCUGAACGUUGGAAACAUUGACUUUUCUUCUGUGGCAACCGAGCACCAGAUUGACAAGAGCCACAUUUCUAAUCAUGCAGCUCUGGAGAACUCUGCUUCUUUGCUUUGCAUUCAAGCAGAUGAGCUACAAGAAGCUCUCACCUCCCACUGUGUGGUCACUAGAGGAGAAACCAUCAUACGACCCAAUACUGUAGAGAAAGCUACUGACGUCAGGGAUGCGACGGCGAAAACUUUAUAUGGACGCCUGUUUAGUUGGAUAGUCAAUUGCAUUAACAGCUUAUUGAAGCACAACGCAUCACCCAGUGGGAAUGAUGAUGAGCUAAGCAUUGGCAUUCUGGAUAUAUUUGGCUUUGAAAAUUUCAAAAGAAAUUCCUUUGAGCAGCUGUGCAUUAACAUUGCAAAUGAACAAAUUCAGUUUUAUUUCAAUCAACAUGUGUUCGCCUGGGAACAGAAUGAAUACCUAAAUGAAGAUGUGGAUGCUAGAGUUAUUGAAUAUGAAGAUAACCGGCCUCUCCUAGAUAUGUUUCUGCAGAAGCCAAUGGGUUUACUGUCCCUCCUCGAUGAAGAAAGUAGAUUUCCCAAGGCCACCGACCAAACUCUUGUAGAAAAAUUUGAAGGUAAUCUGAAAUCACAGUACUUCUGGAGGCCUAAAAGAAUGGAACUUAGUUUCGGAAUUCACCAUUAUGCAGGAAAGGUCAUCUAUAAUGCAAGUGGGUUCUUAGCUAAAAAUAGAGACACUCUUCCAACUGAUAUUGUGCUACUUCUGAGAUCAUCAGAAAACAGUGUAAUUCGGCAGCUAGUCAGCCAGCCUCUAACAAAAACAGGUAAUCUGCCAUAUUCUAAAACUAAAAACAUAAACUAUCAAAUGAGGACUUCAGAAAGAUCAAUCAACCUGACAAAGGGGGAAACUGGAGAAGCCACCCGUCACGCCAGAGAGACAACCAACAUGAAAACACAAACAGUUGCAUCGUAUUUCAGAUAUUCUCUGAUGGAUUUGUUAUCUAAAAUGGUGGUCGGCCAACCUCACUUUGUCCGCUGCAUCAAACCAAACAAUGAACGUCAGGCAAGAAAAUACGACAAAGAGAAAGUCCUGCUCCAGCUUCGCUACACAGGCAUUCUGGAAACAGCAAGAAUUCGAAGGCUGGGAUACUCACAUCGGAUACUUUUUGCCAACUUUAUAAAGCGGUACCACGUUCUCUGUUACAAGUGGUGUGAAGAACCUCCACUGAGCCCUGACACCUGUGCCACCAUUUUGGAAAAAGCUGGUCUGGAUAACUGGGCCCUUGGAAAAACGAAAGUGUUCCUUAAGUAUUAUCAUGUGGAACAGUUAAAUUUAAUGCGAAAGGAAGCCAUCGACAAGCUUAUUUUGAUUCAAGCCUGUGUCAGAGGAUUCUUGGGUUCAAGAAGAUACCAAAAAAUACAGAAGAAAAGGAAAGAGAGCGCUAUAAUAAUACAGUCAGCUGCAAGAGGACAUCUAGCCAGGAAACAAAGGAAAGAAAUUGUUAACACGAAAAACACAGCAGCAAAAACCAUUCAGACUCAAGAUCAGGAAUUUGACUACAAGAAAAACUUUGAAAAUAAAAGGGAAUCUUUUGUGAAGAAACAGACAGAGAAUGCAGUGUCUACUAAUGAAACAGUCAUUCCAGCUCCAAAUAAUAAGGGAAGUACAUCUGUAGUGAAGACUUCUACUUUCAGAGCUGAGGGGGAAUCCACGAAUGCUAUGGAAAGUAACAACAGAGGAUAUCAGACCCCGAAAAAAAUGAACAACGUGUAUGAGGAAGAGGCUAAGCAAGAAUUGUAUCUGGUGGGGGACGCUUGGGCAGAAGUAAACACCAAUAAGAAGUAUAUGAAAGACUUGGAAGAAAAUAGUAAGAUAAGGAAAAUGGAAAAGGAGGACACUGUGGUCCAGAAUUAUUAUCAGUGGUACACAGAGGAAAGGAAUUUCGAAGACUCAAAAGCAGCAUAUCUAGAAAGGAAGGCCAUAUCAGAAAGGCCAAGCUACCCAGGACUUUGGUUAGCGGAGGAGACCUCAGCUCCUAAGCAGCCUUCUUUUAAAAAAACUUUAGAACCUAGUCUUAGCCAGAGGUCGGUUUGCCAAGAUGCAAAUAGCAAGGAAAAAGAAAAGAAGACGUCUGUGGUCACCCAGAAUGCCCCAGUGUGCAGUCAUCAGAGGAACCCUGUGAGGCAUGGGACGGUCCAAGAGAGGCAAAUCGAACUGGCAAUGCAAGCCCAGGAAAAAGAAGACAAAGCAGCGGUGUUCAUUCAGAGCAAAUACCGGGGCUACAAGAAGGGGCAGCAGUUAAGGAAGGACAGGAUGUCGUCUUUUAAAAAUCAAAAAGCGGUUGCAACACCGACAGAAGUAGCAAGAAAUACUCACACUUUGUAUUCCCAUCCCGCAAAAUUUGAGCAAUCCUGUAACAUCAGGAUGAAGAGUGAUAAGGACUCAAAAGCAAUUUCAGAAAAAGAAGCAUGUGAUUUGGCAAUUUUUUCAAAACAGAUAUCAAAGCUAUCUGAAGAAUAUUUCAUUCUGCAGAAAAAACUGAAUGAAGUGAUUUUGUCACAGCAACUGAAGCCUCUUUAUCUGGGUGUCUAUCCUCAUAAGCCAAUUACUAGACGAGUUUCUUCUCAGCAGUGCAUCUCAGGUAUCUCCAAAGGAGAGGAGCCAAAAAUAUUGAGACCCCCAAGGCGGCCCCGGAAACCCAAAACACUAAAUAACCCUGAAGACUCCACAUACUAUUCUCUCCUACAUUGGCCUGGAACCAAACCUGCAAUAUCUCCGAGAAGUCAAUCCAAGAAGAAAAACGAAGAUCAAGGAAAGAUAGUCAGGGAAAAUUAUUAGAUUUGGAAGAUUUCUAUUAUAAGGAAAUUUUGCCCAGUCAUCCUGGACCAGAGGAACACAACCUUAGUUUAAGAGAACAAAGACAACAGCAAGAACUCCAGAAUCAAUGUUUUAAAGCUGAUGAAAGCAGAAAAGUUCAGCAACUCCAGCCUUGCUGACUCCGAAGCGAAACGUGCAGGAUUUGGUGUGGAUUUAAACAAAGGACGGGUCUCUCCGGCUCGUAUCAGCGCUGCUGGAGCAGGAGCCCUGAAGCUGCUAUGCCAGCGGCGCAGACGGCCACCGCACGAAGCCCUGACCCCCCUGGAGUUGUCACCUGGAUCCACUGGAGCACUGGAGCCGGUAUCGCCGGAAAGAGGGGUGGAACGCAGGCCAGGGUUCGUGCCAACCGCGCGGCCACAACUUGACGCAGGCUUCUCGGCACGGCAGGCUCUGCGCCAGGCCUAAGGCCGGACCCGUCCAGCGCCCUUCCCCGCUCCCACUCCUGGGCUCAGGUCCGGAGGCCACGGUGCAGAUCCUACGGAUCCUCCAGGCUCGGGCACGUGCCCCGUGGCCCAUGGUCCCCGGGACCCAUGACGCCCUUCCUAAGCGAGGGUCGAGGGAUGGUAGCCAAGACUGAGGAUCCGUGGGUCUCUGCUUUAGCAGCAGCUUCGGUAACUUGGUUCGGAGAGCAGAGAAAGAAGGUCCUGUGAACACAGUGGAAAUGAGAAGCGCUUGCCCAAGGAGAGCAGCACGCCGCCGAGGAAUGCGCCGCGGGAGGCCGGACACAGCACUUUCCCAGCCAGGCUCAUCCUCACCCUCUCUCCGCGCACCCAUGAGCUGCAAGGCAAACUUGACACUGAUCUUAACUGCCAAGGGACAGCAACGCGAACUCAACGGGCCCCCAAUCCUCAAGGCGCCCUCCCUUUAACAGCUUGUAGAGAAAGGAAAGUGUAAGAGAGGAGAGAUUAUGACUUUCUCAGGAAAGGAGAAACCCCUUACCACCAAGCCUCAGAAAUAGCGAAACUCCCGUUUCCCCCCACCCCACCCUAUCGUGAAGAUUCCCUUGGGGGAUCAGGUGGUCAUUGAUUUGAGGCCCUCUAAAACGAGGGCCCAGCAGGCCAUGCCUUCUUUCCGCCUUUGGACAGCUCAGAUUGCUUACUGGAAACUCGGUGCACGCCUCUCACGCACACACCGAUUCCUGUGACACGUAAGCAGCGGGCCCUUCCGCGCCUCCGCAGGCCAAGGUCACCAAAUGACCUGAUCCCAUCCCCCAUCAGCCGUCAACCCUGCCGGCUCUAGCUCUCUUCCUAGUCCCCUUCCAAGAAGUGUCCGUUCAUUUCUCUGCCCAGGCUGAGGUCCUUGGUGAUAGAUUCCAGCAUGGAUUUUAAUUGCCUCAAUCAGCAGUUUUCCCCCCCAGCCGUCAGUCGGAACCUGGACGGUGGGUUCUGCGACCGCGCGCUCCGAAGCGCAGGAAUGGUGCGACCCCGGGGCUACGCAGCUCCCUAGGCAGGCAUGAGGCUCCACUAAGGAGCUGAAUUGA